rnacentral:RNase_P_RNA from 1 species
CGAGUCGGCCGGGUGAUCGCGGCGUCGGGGACGGCCGCCGGAGUGGCGGCGCGCCCGGUGUCGAGGAAAGUCCGGACUCCACAGAGCAGGGCGGUUGCCAACAGCAACCCGGGGCGACCCGCGGGACAGUGCCACAGAGAACAGACCGCCGGUCCGCGAGGGCCGGUGACGGUGAAACGGUGCGGUAAGAGCGCACCAGCGCCGUGGGUGACCACGGCGGCUCGGUAAACCCCGCCCGGAGCAAGGUCGAAGGUCGCACCCUCACCGGUGCGGCUGCGCAGGCGCAUGGGGUUGCUCGCCCCGGUCUGCGGGUGGACCGCAUGAGGCACCCGGCGACGGUGUGUCCAGAUGGAUGGUCACCCCCGACGCACGCGUCGGGACAGGAUCCGGCUUACAGGCCGGCUCGUUCG